rnacentral:rRNA from 1 species
UACGGAGGGUGCAAGCGUUAAUCGGAAUUACUGGGCGUAAAGCGUGCGCAGGCGGUUUGUUAAGUCCGUUGUGAAAUCCCCGAGCUCAACUUGGGAAUUGCAAUGGAUACUGGCAAGCUGGAGUAUGGUAGAGGAAGGUGGAAUUCCCGGUGUAGCAGUGAAAUGCGUAGAGAUCGGGAGGAACAUCAGUGGCGAAGGCGGCCAUCUGGGACAACACUGACGCUGAAGCACGAAAGCGUGGGGAGCAAACAGG